ensembl:lncRNA
ACCUGAUACUUUUAAAAACUUAGUUCUUAAAAUGCAAACACUGAGAAAAAGUAUAAAAAGAACUUAUAGUUCUAGAAAAUGCAAAGACUGAGAAAAAGUACAAAAGCAAAGAAAUAAAACCUUGAUCUCCCACCCCAGUCCCCCUACCCAAGAUAAACCACUGCUUAUACUUUUCUGUCCCAACAGAAAAACAAUGUAGAUAUUUAUAUUCAUUCAUUUACCAAAAUGAGUAUUAUACAUCGUGCUUUGUAACAUGCAUUUUCCACUUAACAACACGCCUUGCCACCCCGUUCUUAUCAGCGUGUGGUGAUUACUGCUUUCUUCUGCUCUAGUUAGCGAAGCUGGGGAAUACAUUGCACUUGUAGCUGGCAGUACAGCAUUUUCACAAUGUGACCCUACUACAAAGUUGGUGCUGCAGUUACAAACUCCUCCAGGCUGUGUGAUGGGAACAUAUCAUUGCUUCUGAGGUUCCUUUCAGUUCCUUUGGCUGUCUGAGAUGUUGCUAUCCAUACCAGCUGGGCCCUAGGACAGCUUGAGACGUGGCAGCUGAGAGCAAGGCGCGUCCCACUCCUUCUGAGAAAGGCUCUGGGGUCCCCCUGCCCAGAAGAGCACCCUACGUGCUCAUGGAGGGGGGGAUGAGCAAGCAGAGGGAGACAUGUUCGCCAUGGGGAGACCCGCGGGGCGCGUGGAGGGCCCAGACAAGCAGGCUGCUUAGCCCUGCCGGCCUCGCCCCGAUGCUGGAACCCAAGGGUGGGGAAGCCAGCAGAGUCCUUGGUUCAAGUCUCAGUAACAAAACCACUUUACACCUUUCCACUUCGCUGCUUCAGAUCUUUUUUAAAUGACCAAGAAUGUAAUUUUCAUCUUAAACAUUUCAACAUAGUAUCUUUACAAAUAUCAGUUCUAUUUGUGACUCAUUUGACCCACAUAGACACUCCAUCAGACAGGCUGGCCAGAUCAUUAGCCCCACUUAGGAGCCCUGUGUGGGAGAAGUCACGAGACCAUCCAAGGCCAAUCAGCUGCCCAGGGGCCUGACCCUGAUACUCCUGAGGCCACUCCCGAAUUCUUCCAAGCCCACAGGAGUUCCACAAGUCCAGUGUGACAAUUUUACAGCCUCACAGGCAGAAAAGCAAGCAAUGAAGCUAAGGAUGUAAAUUCAAACACAUCUCUCCUCAGGGACACCGGAGUUCCUGAAAAGUACCUCUUCCUAACAGGAAUUUCAUAAACCGAGUACAGGUGUUACUAAGUACAGUACUAAGGUGUGAUGACAAAAAAAUCUUCUGUUAUUUAUUUUGUGGUAGUGGGGAUCAAACCUAGGGCCUCUAGGCACUCUAGAUGCGUUACAUCUCAAGCUCUGAAAAUUAAACCUUGACAGAAAAGUAAAUCUCUACUAGUUUCAGAAAGACCUGUGAAAAUUUUGGUGUUUAUGUUUUAUUGCAAACUCUGACAUUAUCUUUUACUUAUCUCAAUGAAGACCUUGUGUUGGGCAGUCCGGGGAGCUGUCGAUGUUUACCCAACGCCUACUUUGAGAGUGGCCUUCUAGUCAGGCAGGACUGACUGUAGGUGAGUGGUUUUGAAGCUUUUUCGAGAAUGACCUACACAAGAAAUGUAUCUCACCUCCUAAAGCACAGACACGGACAUCACCAUGACAGAUAUUUCCUAUGCUUUUACAUUUUCCCACUUCAUUUUUUAAAAUACUGGUUAUGGCCCCCUGAGGUGACUUCAUGAGUCACAGGUCAGGACUCAAAGGCUGACAAACACUGGCAGUCAGGGAACUCAUGCACGGAGUUCACAGGUAUCUCAGGAAUGGGAAGGCCUUGCAAGUCCAAUAGCUCAGGAGCCUAGCCUUGAAACACUCUGCCUCAUCCCUGAUGAGGGCAAACCCCUGAAAGUCCCUGCCAGAACAUGCCUAGGACAAGAAGGUGCCUCUCACCUGGAACCUAGCACAGGGUCAGAGUCCUGUGACACACAUGGAAAUGAGUUUAAAGGCACAAAAGCCUAAUUAUGCCCUCACUUCCCUUUUCCUAAAAGACAACUUGGAUGUCCAUUCCCAAACCCAUCUUAGUCUUUUCCAGGAGUGUGAAAAGGCAAAAAUGAGUGAGGGGAAUAGAGGUCUUGAAAGGCCCCUCUGAUGGCUGGUGGAAGGGGUGGGGUCUUAGCAACUCUCAUGAGAAGCAGCCGUCCAGUCUGAGGGGCCUGGUAAGUGACACUCAUAUGAUGUCAGGUUGGGAGGCUGAGUCAGGAACCCCAGAGGCUCAAAACCAGCUGAGUCUUGAGUGGCUAACUGGAAUCAGACAGGUGGAGAAAAGAGGAGCAGUCAGACUCAGAAAUGAGCCCAGGUGUCCGGGGUGGAUAGCAGUGAAGGGUUCAUAAACAGGAACAGUAAGAGAGAAAAUUUCCUCAUAAAUAUGCAGUGGUUAAUUAAAAAGAGAAACAUUUAACAGAAAAAUUAAAGUGGGAUGGAAAGAGAAAAUCAAAAGCCUGAGAUCUCUCCAAGGAGACCAAUCCAGAUUUUGGAUUUCAGCCUGCAGGCAUGGGGUUACCGAAGGUGUCUCAGAGAGUAGACCAGUAUUUUAAAAUUACUCACGUGCAAGUGGUCCUGAAACCUGGCUCUAGAAAGACCCAGAGUGCAGACAACAGGCAGGCAGUGUGGGACUGAAUACAGACAGGGAUGUGUGUGCACGUGGGCUUCAGAAAUUCAGGUUUCUAGUAAGACCAGGCCAGGUUACCUAAAAAGCAGAGAAGCUGAGAUGUACAUGCUGAGUUUGGACAGCGAUGAGAUCCAACUUCCUUUUCCUUCAUCCUUCUUUUGCUGAGGAAGUGUGAGCCAGGUCUGUAGCUAAGUGACUGCUUCCUUCAUAAAAGCUCUAGCCUUUAUUCAGCAGGAAGCUAAGACUUUGUUCAUCCUCACUGUUGCUAGGGGCCUAAU